rnacentral:lncRNA from 1 species
GUCCCUUCAGCCUGAACAGCAAGAUCCCUGGGAAUUCUGCUGCCCUGUCAUGGAUUGGAGGCUGUAGUUUGCCAGGGUAGAUUUUGGGAACAGAGACAGCAGCCUACACUUCACCACCAUCUUGAGAGCUACAGAUCAAACUCCAUCCAGUGACUGCUCGACAUCAUGGCCCCAAACCCAGGAAAGCAUGAAGUCUUGAUGAGGAGCUGAAAACACCAGCUGAGCAUCCUCACUGUGUAUUAUGGACUCUCUAACCUGUGGUCAUGUGCACCAUUCAUUUGCAUCGGAAUUUUGGUCUUAGGCCUAUUUUUGUGCUUAGGUAUCUAUCACCUUACUGUCUUGACCUCUCUGUUGCUAGAAGGGUGGAUUUGCUAACCAAACACAGUCUCAGGUCCUUUUGACUUAAGCAAAAGUGAACAGAAUUAUAACUGCUCGUUUCAUACACUCCCUUUUGGAUAAUAGUGACAGGAAGGCUAGGCCUGGAACUUGCACUGUGCAACACUUGUUUCCUGUGUGCUGACAUCUGACACACACACUAUAAGGGAAGGGCCAGAACGUUUAUCCCGUUAGAAGAGGCAGGUCUCUGUGUCUUGAGUGUGCCAGAGGGUAUUUCAGGAAAGGACUGGGUUUUAUACUUCUGGAAGUCACAGAAUACUGUACUCCUCCAAACCUAAAUAGCCUUCCUAUUGUGCCUGGUUGGUCAUUUCCUCCUAAAUGCCACUUUGGUUCUCCCAGCACUUGGAGGACACAGGCUCAGCUUCUCAUUCUGUGAGGAGCUCUUUCUUGCCAUCAUUUUGUUCUUUCACAGCAGUGAUCAGAUUUUCAU